GUGAAGGCAAAGCUCUAUAUUUAGCCAGCAUCAGAAUCGGGUUUAAGGGAGUGGAAUAAUGAGUGGAACUGCCAGUUUCAAUGAGUAAGGUAUUUAGAGAAAAAGCCUGCCGCAGGAUUUCUCUUUUAUGAUAUCAAUAUACACGUGAUUGGGAAGACAUAAAACGGGAUUUGAAGUGUCCGAAUAAAGAAAAUAAAUCGGAGACCUUGUCUAGAAAUAACGUGGAAAGAGCGUGUGUGUGAAAAUUUAGCCUCGUAUUUGCAGUCCUUACUCAGGCAAGAUUCCCAUUGACUGUAAUGGAAUUAAGGACCGCGGGAUCGGGUCCUUUUUUGUUUUAAAAAGAGAGAGAAAGCGAUGGCUAUUGUCAUCUUCUUCCCUGACACAAAGACAAAGACUCGAACUGAUGAACUCUUUUCCUAAUAACUAGAACAAAUACUUUGAAACCACACCUCUGCUUGUAAAGCAACUGAUGUACCGCGAUAGGUAUGGAUAGUCUGUUAAAGAACAGAGGGAAGGGAUAAAGCCCGGAAAAGCUGGCUUCAUCCAUUUUUCCUGAAGGUUGAAAAGUGGAGGGGAGGGUCUGUAAAUAUGUACAGUUACUUUUGAAACAUGCUUCAUCAUAACAGCCCAACGCGCGUAGCUAAGUGCUCUUUAUGAAAUGAGCACUUUUCCAAGUACAUGAGCCAUCUCUCUCUUUCCUUUAAAACAGUGAAAACUCCUGCACUUGAAAAUGGCUUUGGGGACAAAAGGUGAAUUCUAGGUCCCGACCUGCUGUUGCUGAAUAGGGUGACCAAAGAAGUUUGUUUCGAGAUCCUUAUAGAUAAUGCACAUGCAAAGGCUGAAACAACUUUCAAAACGCAGCCUUGAAUCAGCAAAGUAACAAAAGAAAAUACACUCCUAUCAUCUUUACAUGUUAAAGGCAAACUCGUGCUAAUUUUGCAUCCUUAUAUAUUUGGAAAGAAUUAUCCCUACUUUCCCAGAGGAAAACAUGAUGCUAGGUCUUAGGAAAACAGGCUUUAAGAAGCCCUGCCAUGAUAGCAGCAUAUAGCAAUUACUGAAACUUGGAACAUUGGUGUAUACUGUGUCCUCUGUGGUGUGGAAUAAGUCAUUGCACUCCUGUGUAUGGGAGAAAGGAAGGGAGGGAGUUGGUUUGCUUUAGGGAGACUGCAGAGAAAAUGAGGAAUGAAGUUGAUAGGAAAAUGUCUUAGUUCUUAGACAAUGAGCCAUAACUUACAGGGGUGGAAAUUUAAAAGCUAAACUUAUUACCUUAUUAGUACUUAUCAUUUCCACAUCCCACAUAACAGAAUUUUUGAUGGAAAUGAGAGAUAGUUUCUGAUUUUAUCAAAGUGUAGAGUAUAUUUUUAAAGUGUAUAAACUCUCUGAUUCAUAUCUAUGCCAGUUGCAUCACAAAAAGCUUCUUUAGUUAAAUAAAUGAUGCUUUUACUUUAAGCAAUUAGACACCAAGGGGUUUUUUUUUAGCUUCCAAAAUCUUUGUUAUAUCAUCUCUAUUGAAAGCAGCACUCCAUUUUGCUUUCAAAAUGAUUAUUCCCCUACUCAAUGCAUUAGUUGUCUUCCCUUAAUACAUUUUUUAAAGGUAGGGAAACAAAAAGGCAGGCGGACUAUUAUAAAUCAAGGAAUAUAUCUGUAUAUAAAACUAGAAAACAGUCUGAUAAUUGGUUAUGGUAUAUACCAUGUCUACUAUUGUGUGGAAUAAGUCAUUUAACUUGAUUGACAGGUGUUGAUCUGUUAUACUGUCUUAAACUUUCUAUAGCAUAUAUCAUUGGGAUUUGGUCCUUAUAUAGGUAUAUUUUAUUGCAUAAAAAUAAAAUUAGAGUCUCUCUUGCCUUCUAAUUCUUAUUGAAUUAUACAAUUUACCCAUUUCAAUCAAACAUACAUUUAUUUACACACGGUUUAGACAGGUUAAAUUAAUUAGUUGAGUUCAUGCAAUAAAAAUAUGUAUAAAAAUAAUAAAAUGUUGCCCCUUUGAAUUGGCUAGUGUUGAUUUACAGCUUGGAAACAUAAAUCUUGCAAAAUCAGUGACCAAAUAAGUGUUAGUGAGAAUCUUAAGGGAGGUGAGGUCUUGACUUGGAACAGUUAGCGCUUGUUUGUGCCUAACCUACACAAAUAUUGUACAUACAAGGUGUGUUUGUGUGUGUGUCUAUAUAUAGACACACACCAGCAUUACAUAAGUGUAUUCUAGCAAAAAGACAAAAUUACCUAAUGCCAGCAUUUCAAGCUUAAACUGUACAUAUGGAAAAUACAAACUUGCUAGGGUAUCUAAACACAAACUAAAGAAGUACAGAAGAAUCUUGAGAGUAAGAAUUGCAAUCAUAUUACCUUUGUGAACUAGAGGCUAAUCAUGCAACCCUCUCUGAUUAAUGAAAAUAAAAAGUGUAGUUUUAUGUA